UGCAGUCGAACGGCAGCACGGACUUCGGUCUGGUGGCGAGUGGCGAACGGGUGANUAAUAUAUCGGAACGUAUCCAAUAAUGGGGGAUAACUAAUCGAAAGGUUGGCUAAUACCGCAUACGCCCUACGGGGGAAAGCUAGGGACCUUCGGGCCUGGCGUUAAUGGAGCGGCCGAUAUCUGAUUAGCUAGUUGGUGGGGUAAAGGCCCACCAAGGCGACGAUCAGUAGCUGGUCUGAGAGGACGACCAGCCACACUGGAACUGAGACACGGUCCAGACUCCUACGGGAGGCAGCAGUGGGGAAUUUUGGACAAUGGGCGAAAGCCUGAUCCAGCCAUUCCGCGUGAGUGAAGAAGGCCUUCGGGUUGUAAAGCUCUUUCGCAAGGGAAGAAAGAUUACUCUCUAACAUAGAGUGAUUAUGACGGUACCUUGAUAAGAAGCACCGGCUAACUACGUGCCAGCAGCCGCGGUAAUACGUAGGGUGCGAGCGUUAAUCGGAAUUACUGGGCGUAAAGCGUGCGCAGGCGGUUUUGUAAGUCAGAUGUGAAAUCCCCGAGCUCAACUUGGGAACUGCGUUUGAAACUACAAGACUAGAAUAUGUCAGAGGGGGGUAGAAUUCCACGUGUAGCAGUGAAAUGCGUAGAGAUGUGGAGGAAUACCAAUGGCGAAGGCAGCCCCCUGGGAUAAUAUUGACGCUCAUGCACGAAAGCGUGGGGAGCAAACAGGAUUAGAUACCCUGGUAGUCCACGCCCUAAACGAUGUCUACUAGUUGUUGGUGGAGUAAAAUCCAUGAGUAACGCAGCUAACGCGUGAAGUAGACCGCCUGGGGAGUACGAUCGCAAGAUUAAAACUCAAAUGAAUUGACGGGGGCCCGCACAAGCGGNGGNAUUAUGUGGAUUAAUUCGAUGCNACGCGAAAAANCCUUACCUG
rnacentral:rRNA from 1 species